rnacentral:rRNA from 1 species
AGUCACUGACAUUAGAUACCCGUGUAGUCCCAGCCGUAAACUAUGCUCGCUAGGUGUCAGGCAUGGCGCGACCGUGUCUGGUGCCGCAGGGAAGCCGUGAAGCGAGCCACCUGGGAAGUACGGCCGCAAGGCUGAAACUUAAAGGAAUUGGCGGGGGAGCACAACAACGGGUGGAGCCUGCGGUUUAAUUGGUACUCAACGCCGGACAACUCACCGGGGACGACAGCAAUAUGUAGGCCAGGCUGAAGACCUUGCCUGAAUCGCUG